AUGAGCUGGAGAGUGUGCAAAUAAUUUCCCCCAAAUCUGGAUUCCAGAACUCUCCUCCUGCACACAGAUGAAUGCCCCCUCCCUCAAACUGCAAUCCUGCCCCCUUCCAGCUUGCCCAGAGUCACCCAGGCUGCUGGCAAAUGGUUUUGCAGAGCAAGGGCGCCGCGUUGUUUGCGGAGUGGAACUGCCUUCAGGAUGCAGCUGGCUUCCCUCCCCAGCAGCCAGGAGGGCCAAGGGACCAAGCAGCAGGCAUUUGCAAAAGCCUCUGUUGACCCAGCCGCUCGAGCUCCAUCCUAGACGCUCAUCAGGGAGGAGGAGCCCUUUCUUCAUCCAGAGGGGAGACUAAUGUAACAAAAACGGCCAUUAUGGGACACAUUCAUCUUGGUUUGAUGGGGAGUGUGGAGGAGCCCCAGCGAUGCCUUCGGUCAUGAAGGUUAUUCAGCUGCCGGAAGUGACUGAGAAGAUGACUGUGGAUCCCGAGGUUGUCAGCAUCUCACCGGAUUCAGGAGGGUGGCUGUCACUGGAGCAGACCCACAGGACACACGGUAGAAACACGUUCUGCUAUCAGGAGGGUAUUUACCUUCUCAAACAUUGCAAAUAUCAGCCACAAAGCCCCUUUUCUCUAAUGAGCAAAACGUUGAGGGGUUAUCUCUACGGAAGAAGAAAGGAAAACAAAGUGGAAGAAACUUGAACUUAUUUUUCCUGAGCUGAUGGCUGUGUUCAUGGAAACAGAAGUGGAGGCAGGAACCAGCCCUGGUCAAAAGUGACCAGGUCAGCUUUACCCACUUCCCAUGUUCUCGAAUUCCAGACUCUGACUCUUCCAAUUUCUGACCUUGAUGCAGACCAACUGCAAAGAAAAGAGCUUCACGUAACUUGAGAACUUAAGAGCUUUCUCACAAACAAUAAUGAAGCUCACGGAAGUUAGGCUGAUUCUGGCAUUUGGGAGCAUUCAAACUUACUAAACCUUCUGAUUUCUUUAACUGGCUGUAGCUUCUCAAGUUUGCUGUGACAUGGUAAACACGACUGCCAAUAUUUAUUGUGUGGUUGCUACGGUGCUCUUUUCCAGUCCCUUGCUGAAGUAAAAGGACUGCUUUGUUAUUGUUGUUUAGUGGCUAAGUUGUGUCUGACUCUUUGCAACCUCAUGGACUGCAGCCCACCAGGCUUCUCUGUCCAUGGAAUUUCCCAGGCAAGAAUCCUGCAGUGGGUUGCUGUGAACUUCUCCAGGGCGUCUUCCUGACCCAGGGACUGAAACUGCAUCUCUUGAGUCUCUUGCAUUGGCAGGCAGAUUCUUUACCACUGAGCCACCUGGGACGCCCCGAAAGGAGCUUACUCUCCAUUGAUUACACCCUGCCACGAGUUUUGUGCAUGCAUGCUAAGUUGCUUCAGUUGUGUCCGACUCUUUGUGACCCCACAGGUAGCAUUUUGCUGGGUGUUAGAAAGAGACAGGUGAGUAAUUGCAGAUUGAAUUUGAAACACAUAUAAACAUAAUUCCUCGAACUGUACAAAG